rnacentral:lncRNA from 1 species
AAAUCUUAUGUAUAAUAACUUUAAAGUAAUAUGAAGUAUAAAUAUUAAAAAAUAUAUUAGAUUUAAAAUCAACUAUAUUAAAAUAAUAACGGCAUAACGAAUAUUUAAAAAAGGAAAAUAUAAAACAACUUAAUAAGGGUCAAAUUUGAACUUAAAGCAGAGUUAAAUGUAACAAGUAGAAAUAAAUCAAAAUACAGGGGCAGAAACGAGAUGCGUAAAUAACAAGGGGACCAAAAAGGGAAACAUUCCCGUCCCUCAAAACGCUGAGUUUUAAUAUGGAUCAAAUUGAAACAUAUUUAAAAAACGCGAUUAAAUCUGAAAACAAAGUAAAGCGUAAGGAAGACAAAUUAAAAACUAGAGAAUCAGAGGGACCAGGAGGAUAAAUAUUCCCUCCACCAAGAACACGGGGAUCCUACGCGUGCGGGUCGGGUUUGCGGGUUACAGGUCUUGUACGACGUCAUUUUGAGGCCACUACUCUAGGCUUCAAACGACGUCGUUUCCCAACCAACAGUAAUACCCUAAUCAGCAGGGUUUUCCCACUUUUCAAAUGAAAUCAGAGGCCUAAGCAGCCAUUAGACCUAUCCAUGGGCCGCGCGGCCCGGCCCGGCCCGACGGCCCACCCGAAAUAUGGGAGGGUUCGGGUAAAAUUACAGGCCCGAAAUAUGGGCUUGGGCAAAAAAAUGAGGCCCGUUUAAAAAACGGGUCGGGCCUCGGGCACCACUUUUUUGGCCCGGGCUCGACCCGGCCCGGCCCGAAUAUAAUAAAUAUAUUUUUUUUAUUUUUAAUUUUAAAACUUUUAAAAUAUUUUUUUAUUUUUUUAUUUUUAAAAUAAUUUUUUAAUGUUUAUUAAAAAAUGGGCCGGGCUCGGGCUUAUAAUAUUUUUCCCGGGUCGGGCCUAGGUAAAAUUUUAGGCCCAUAUUUUGGGCCGGGCUGAGCCCGGGCCUAGGAGGCGGGCCGAAAAUUUUUUCCGGGCCCAGCCCGCCCGGCCCAUGGACAGGUCUAGCAGCCAUUCACUCCGCCGCAAGAGGGAAACCCCUCUUCAACUUCGAUGCUGACGAAGUGAGUAAGGUCCGGCGACGCAUUUCGAGAAGGUAAGACUCCCCUCCCCUGUCUAUUUUUUUUUUUUUGCUUCGCAAGCAAAUAAGAAAAUGAAAAAGAAUCGAAGAAAGAAACACAGGUAAAUCGGGGAAAUCACCUUUUUCAAUUUCUCUGUAUAUUUUUGUAAUGAUUUUCUAAAUUUUUUUUACAUCCGUUUUUCUUCUCUUUUUACAAUAUGUUAUAUGGCUUUUUAUAAUCGAUUUACAAUAUAUUUUCUACUGUUUGGCACUGUUUUGGCUUCAUUUCUGCCACUGUUUUUGCUUCUAUCUUUCGCCUUUCUCUUGCUUUCGUUUCUGUCUUUUUUUUUGCAGGCAAUGUGAAGUCAAAGGAAGGAGUUUGUGCCAUUUUGGUGCAACAUGGGUGGAGGCGUCGUCAUCGGGCGCGGUGCACGCUGAGGGCGCACAUGGGGCAGCUACGGCGCGAAGGAGGGAGGGGACCCUAGGGUUUCUGAAAAUUUUAAGUUCUUUGGGCUUGUCGGGCCCUGGGGUAGUGGGUUUAGGUUUAGGUUGGGUUUGGGCCAUGUUGGGCUUUUGGGCUAUUGCUGUAAUUGAGUUAGUUGGGCCCCGGGCAAAAUGGGCUUGUACAAUUCUUACAAUGAUUUUUUUAUAAGAAUUACUUUUCAUUUAAUGGAGAAUAUUUUUUAUUAAUUAUAUUCUAUUUUAUUUAUUUUAAUAUUAUAUUAUCCUACAAAAACUUUUAGUUUAAAAUUUGAAUGAAAUGUUUAAAAUUUAAGGAUAAGAUGUAGAAUUUUAUUUUAUUUUAUAAUUUAAUAUCUAUAUUUAUCACACAAUCUAAUUAUAUUUCAUAAUUAAUUUUAAAUAAUAUAUCGAAUAAUUUUAUAAUUUAAAUUCAAUACUUAAAUUUUCUAACAUAUUUUUUUUUAACAUAUCAAACAAUAACUAAAUCAUUCAUCAUGUUGAUCAAUUAGCAGUAAGAUAUAAUCAUCUAAUCAACGACGUCAAAUUUUAUUGUAUAAACUCAUCCUAAUGCUUUACAUUUAUCACAAAACUCCAUAUAAACACAAAGAAUGUUUAACUCUAUUGGCAUUGGCAUUGGCAUUGUUGCCAGUGCAGGUGGACAAAGAUUCGAGUGAUCUAAAACGCAUUAUCCUUCUAUUUAAAGAUUAAAGCGGGGCUAUGAGUAAUUUUAGGCAGUAUAUCUAAAAGAGCAAAUAUAAUAAGAACUUAGAGCGAAACCAUGAAGAUGAAUCCAUUUUCGCAUCCCAACUUACCUUAACUAUAAUCUAAUGUUAAAACUCAAGAAGAAGCUCAAGAUUCCUACAUUCUUUCCUUUAAGAACUCAUCAGACAUUUUUUUUUUAACUCGAAUAAGCCUCUCUAGAGCAACAGUGAUGUGAAUGGAGAGGAAAAGAAUUGUUCAAACCAUGCAAAACCCUUUUCUUAUAACUUUAAAGACUUGAAAACAUUGAGUUUCUCCGAAAAUUCCUGUUCAAUAAACAUUACCGUGAAUUGCCAAAAGAAAACCUUUAAAUGAGAAAAGGGUUGAGUAAAUGUGUUUACCUUACUAAAAUUGACUGAGAAGAGAAUGGAUGAGGAAUUUUUGCUCCUGGAAAAAAUGAAAUGAUUUGUGAAUUUGGAAAGAAUGCAACUUUUCCC